rnacentral:rRNA from 1 species
AUUGAACGCUGGCGGCAUGCCUUACACAUGCAAGUCGAACGGCAGCACGGGGGCAACCCUGGUGGCGAGUGGCGAACGGGUGAGUAAUACAUCGGAAUGUACCCAGUAGUGGGGGGUAACUAGUCGAAAGAUUAGCUAAUACCGCAUACGCACUAUGGUGGAAAGCGGGGGAUCGCAAGACCUCGCGCUAUUGGAGCAGCCGAUGUCCGAUUAGGUAGUUGGUGGGGUAAAGGCCUACCAAGCCUGCGAUCGGUAACUGGUCUGAGAGGACGACCAGUCACACUGGGACUGAGACACGGCCCAGACUCCUACGGGAGGCAGCAGUGGGGAAUUUUGGACAAUGGGGGAAACCCUGAUCCAGCAAUGCCGCGUGUGUGACGAAGGCCUUCGGUUGU